AGCUGAUGGAAUGUUUAGCAGGUAUAAAUGCAGUUCUUAGAGGAAGCAGUAGACUAGAAGGACCUGGCAGAGACAGAGAGACAAGAAGCUUUCAGAGGUUUUCACACACAUCUCAAGAUAGCACUGAAACACUGACCUGACAGAAUGUUCUUAAUCCUGGUUGUCACAAUGUUCUUGGCUGGCGGCUUGCUUUGCGUGAGUUAUAAAAUACAAUUUGAAUUAUAAUGAUAAAUAAUAGCUUUUGUGCUUUCACCAAUUGUCCUUUUCAGUUAGACAAGGAGUUCUUCUUUGAGACAUAAACUAAUGUAUUAAAUCAUUGCAGAAUGUACUUUAUUAAUUCAUCUGCACUUUUCAAAUUUAAAGAUCUUUC
rnacentral:lncRNA from 1 species